UUGUUCCUGAGUGGAUACUAUUUUGAGCUUUUCAUUAUUUGCAAGAUGGAGCUAUGUGUCUGUACUUAAAUAUGCCCAGCUGGCCAAUGCACCUGCUUUUUGAGUCACUACAGAGAUCAGAAACCCUGAACAACAGAAGUUGGACUUAUGUGUCGUUUCUGAACGGUCAACUUACCAUAACAAAACACUCAGAGGUGUAAAUCUUCUGGAAGAAGUGCAAAUGCCACACUUUUACUUGGAAAAAAAGGAAAAAAACAGGACUUAUUUAAUAUAUUUGCCGAACAUGUAAAACUGCAUACACCACAGGAAAUAUUUUUGGUGUGUGGGAACGUGUGGUGUGUCCAAACUACAAACAUUGUUUUGAAAAUUUCCCCGGCAGUGGUGAAUUAUAUGAGACCAUGUCCAUGUAAGGACAGCCCAUUGUUGCUAUUUCAUACUGCAGUUUGAAUGCCUACCUAAAAUGUUGAGGAUUUCCAUUUCUCUUUGUUCGGCUUUGGGCAGUGGCUAGAAACUCAUGUGUGAAGAGUUGGAUUGACCUGCCUUUUGGUAGCACUGGGUUUUCUUCGAGGGACAUGAAAUGAUUGAAAUUGAAAUUUCCCUUCUGGGUUCAGGCAUGUCUACACUAAUUGUAAAAUAGUUGUUUUGGCUUCCAAGAGUAGGCUCAUAACUACAACUAUGUGAAGUAGAAAUCCAGCAAGAGUUAUAAUUUACAGUCACUAACUCUGCCAGUCUUAUAAUAAAAACACUAUCAUAACCAAUCUAUUGUGACAUUCAUUUGCUUUACUUGAGACACAGAUAAAAAGUCCUGUUCCGGGUUGUCUUGCAUUAGAAAGCUGUUUCAUUGCAUUGGGAUAUUGAUGUGUCUCC